rnacentral:lncRNA from 8 species
AUGCGCAUGCACAGUCCGGUGCGAGUGAUCCCAGCCCCUCGCAAGUGCCGUGCUAGAGUGGGCAUCCAGCCUGGAAGGAGGAUGCCUGCGCAGUGCAUCUGGCCACCGGUGUGCCUCCUAGGUCCAGGCUACCCUACGCCUGCUCUACGCACGGCAACCAUCAGGCCCCUGCACAGCCCAGUUCGCCCUGUGCCAGCACUUCGCUCGUGCAGGGCUACUAGUUCCAUCCAGCCAGGACGGGUUGUGCAGGAGGUGCGAUCGAGACCGCCAGUGCGCCUCCACGGCCCGGUAUAUCCAGUACCAGCACCACGCACCAGGCCUCCAGUGCGUCAGUCCAGUCCAAUUCAGCCUGUUCCCGCUCCUCGCACUAGCCUUAAAGUGAGUGUCUCCAGUCUGGUAGCUCCACUACCAGCCCCACGCACUAGGCUUCCAGUGCAUCAGCCCAGUCCUAUACAGCCUGUUCCCGCUCCUCGCACUAGCCUUAAAGUGCGUGUCUCCAGUCUGGUACCUCCACUACCAGCCCCACGCACUAGGCUUCCAGUGCGUCAGCUCAGUCCAGAGUGUCCGACGACAGUUCCCCGUCCAGAGUGUCCGACGACAGUUCCCCGUCCAGAGUGUCCGACGACAGUUCCCCGUCCAGAGUGUCCGACGACAGUUCCCCGUCCAGAGUGUCCGACGACAGUUCCCCGUCCAGAGUGUCCGACGACAGUUCCCCGUCCAGGGUGUCCGACGACAGUUCCCCGUCCAGAGUGUCCGACGACAGUUCCCCGUCCAGAGUGUCCGACGACAGUUCCCCAUCCAGAGUGUCCGGCGACAGUGCCCCGUCCAGAUUAUCCGGCAACAGUACCCCGUCCAGAGUAUCCGGCAACAGUACCCCGUCCAGAGUAUCCGGCAACAGUACCCCGUCCAGAGUAUCCGGCAACAGUGUAUAGUCCGGAACCGAGUGAGACGGCCCACCCUCCCUUCCCUCCCUUUAGUUUAGGGGAUUUAUUUUUGUUUUGGGGUGAUUUUUGUUUAUUUGUGUGA